CUUGACACUGAACAUUGAGCCUUGAUGUGUAGGAUAGGUGGGAGGCUUUGAAGUGUGGACGCCAGUCUGCAUGGAGCCGACCUUGAAAUACCACCCUUUAAUGUUUGAUGUUCUAACGUUGGCCCCUGAUCGGGGUUGCGGACAGUGUCUGGUGGGUAGUUUGACUGGGGCGGUCUCCUCCUAAAGAGUAACGGAGGAGCACGAAGGUUGGCUAAUCCUGGUCGGACAUCAGGAGGUUAGUGCAAUGGCAUAAGCCAGCUUGACUGCGAGCGUGACGGCGCGAGCAGGUGCGAAAGCAGGUCAUAGUGAUCCGGUGGUUCUGAAUGGAAGGGCCAUCGCUCAACGGAUAAAAGGUACUCCGGGGAUAACAGGCUGAUACCGCCCAAGAGUUCAUAUCGACGGCGGUGUUUGGCACCUCGAUGUCGGCUCAUCACAUCCUGGGGCUGAAGUAGGUCCCAAGGGUAUGGCUGUUCGCCAUUUAAAGUGGUACGCGAGCUGGGUUUAGAACGUCGUGAGACAGUUCGGUCCCUAUCUGCCGUGGGCGCUGGAGAACUGAGGGGGGCUGCUCCUAGUACGAGAGGACCGGAGUGGACGCAUCACUGGUGUUCGGGUUGUCAUGCCAAUGGCACUGCCCGGUAGCUAAAUGCGGAAGAGAUAAGUGCUGAAAGCAUCUAAGCACGAAACUUGCCCCGAGAUGAGUUCUCCCUGACUCCCUGAGAGUCCUGAAGGAACGUUGAAGACGACGACGUUGAUAGGCCGGGUGUGUAAGCGCAGCGAUGCGUUGAGCUAACCGGUACUAAUGAACCGUGAGGCUUAACCUU
rnacentral:rRNA from 1 species